rnacentral:tRNA from 1 species
GCCGGUGUAGCUCAGUUGAUAGAGCACCCGACUUGUAAUCGGACGGUCGGGGGUUUGAAUCCCUCCACCGGCUCCA